AACGCAAGUGUGAGUGUGAGUUCUGGUCGUCUCUCGCCCGGUGGUUCUUGCCGUGGGGGUCAUUGGUGAUUGGUGGCCGAGGAUACCUGCAAAGGCAUGGUAGCCCGUCUCCGGGUGGGUGAACGCGUUUGUUAGUACUCGGCCGCUGAUCAUGUGAGUGGUGUCCGGUAACCGGCGAACGACUUCGGUGGCCCAGCCGCUUGGGUUGAUCGUGGGUCC
rnacentral:rRNA from 1 species